AUUGAACGCUGGCGGCAUGCUUUACACAUGCAAGUCGAACGGUAACAGGCCGCAAGGUGCUGACGAGUGGCGAACGGGUGAGUAAUGCAUCGGAACGUGCCCAGUCGUGGGGGAUAACUACUCGAAAGAGUAGCUAAUACCGCAUACGAUCUAUGGAUGAAAGCGGGGGACCGUAAGGCCUCGCGCGAUUGGAGCGGCCGAUGUCAGAUUAGGUAGUUGGUGGGGUAAAGGCUCACCAAGCCAACGAUCUGUAGCUGGUCUGAGAGGACAACCAGCCACACUGGGACUGAGACACGGCCCAGACUCCUACGGGAGGCAGCAGUGGGGAAUUUUGGACAAUGGGCGCAAGCCUGAUCCAGCAAUACCGCGUGCAGGAAGAAGGCCUUCGGGUUGUAAACUGCUUCUGUACGGAACGAAACGGCUCUGGUUAAUACCCGGGGCUAAUGACGGUACCGUAAGAAUAAGCACCGGCUAACUACGUG
rnacentral:rRNA from 1 species